CUUUACUCUAGCUUGGCACUGAGUCGUACAUAUAUUUGUGCAGGAUAGGUGGGAGACUAUGAAAGAUGGACGCCAGUUCAUCUCGAGUCGUCGUUGAGAUACCACCCUUGUAUAUGUAUGCCUCUAACCCCUUUUUGGGGGACCGUGCUUGGUGGGGAGUUUAACUGGGGCGGUUGCCCCCUAAAACGUAACGGAGGCGCACAAAGGUAGGCUAGGUCCGGAUGGAAAUCGGACUGGUCGUGUAUUCGCACAAGCCUGCUUGACUGAGAGACCUACAAGUCGAUCAGAGACGAAAGUCGGUGAAAGUGAUCCGGCACCAACAUGUGGGAGUGGUGUCGCUCAACGGAUAAAAGUUA
rnacentral:rRNA from 1 species